AUAUUGUCAGGAUGCUGCUUCAUGAAGAUAAAGGGAUCUUUGAAGGCUUCAUUAACAUUUACCACAAGAGGAAAGGUUUUUGAAAGGUUUCUAAAGGACAUUUUCAUGCUGUUUUUUCUGUACUUCUUGAAAAGAAGUGGCAACCAUUCCAAUAUAUUCCAAUGUAUUGGUGUGCUUCAAAGAUCUAAUGUGGCUUUGUCAUUAACCAAAGUGAGAGCAUCUACUGAUGUCUCAAAGAAGAAUGAUAAAUAUUUUCUAUUGUAUUUCAACUCCAUGAGAAAUCUAUCUCCCCAUUGCUGACUGCUCACCAUGAGCUCCUGCUAUGCUAACUUUCAAAGGGAACAUCAACAGUGUCUAAAAAGUCAUGGGUGAUGUGAAAAAGGCCAGACUAAGAAUCUAGGGUAAGAAGCUGCUUUGGGGCCAUCAGCAGAGUUGUAAAUGACCAGCAUUCUAUGGGAGCAGGGAGUGAUUGCAGAGACCAAGGAGUCAUGAUCCAUUCUUGUCAUGUGAUGCUGCUAACAAGCAAAGCCAAGGGAUUUUUUUUAAAGCCAGGAGUGAAAUUAUUGUUUCAAUAUUUUCCAUCUA